AUUGAACGCUGGCGGCAUGCCUUACACAUGCAAGUCGAACGGUAACGCGGGGCAACCUGGCGACGAGUGGCGAACGGGUGAGUAAUGUAUCGGAACGUGCCCAGUUGUGGGGGAUAACUGCUCGAAAGAGCAGCUAAUACCGCAUACGACCUGAGGGUGAAAGCGGGGGAUCGCAAGACCUCGCGCAAUUGGAGCGGCCGAUAUCAGAUUAGGUAGUUGGUGGGGUAAAGGCUCACCAAGCCGACGAUCUGUAGCUGGUCUGAGAGGACGACCAGCCACACUGGGACUGAGACACGGCCCAGACUCCUACGGGAGGCAGCAGUGGGGAAUUUUGGACAAUGGACGCAAGUCUGAUCCAGCCAUGCCGCGUGCGGGAAGAAGGCCUUCGGGUUGUAAACCGCUUUUGUCAGGGAAGAAAAGGCUCCUUCUAAUAUAGGGGGCUCAUGACGGUACCUGAAGAAUAAGCACCGGCUAACUACGUGCCAGCCGCCGCGGUAA
rnacentral:rRNA from 1 species